AAUAGCAGAGCAGAAUUUAAGAACCACUGAAGAUCGGCAAAAGCCUGCGCAUCCAAAUGAUGAUCAUUCGCACGAUAAGCCACUCCAAUAUUAAGCUAUUCGAAAGUUGAGCCACCCACUGUCAUCGAAUGAUCUGUCAGAGGAACUUCCGUGGAAACGCACACGAGAAAGAGCCGACUGUGGUUAAUAGUUCAGUGAUACUACGCGGAAAUUAAGCACAUUUAGUUUGCCCGAAGUGCAAUUGAUCGGGAAUCUACAUCGAGGUUAUACGCCAAUUGAAGGCACUUUGAACGAAUUCGUCAUCGUUGGUUUUACAUAGUCGCGCGAGGUGCCUGACCGAGCUCACUCCUCCAAAACAACGAGGUAAAACGAUUUAUUCCCAAUCAUUGAAUUCGUCAAUCUAACAUUAUUAUGCCUUCAUCCAAGCUUCGACUCGAUCAGCACCCCAAAAACUGCAAGGAAGUAGAUCCUGCGACAAAACGAUCACGAGCAUCACAACAGCGAGAAAGGUUCAAUUCGAUCAGCACGAUCAGUAUCCUCAUCUCCAGGAAGGAGAUUAAGAUUGCAGCCAGGCACACAUCUCGUUAGCACCAGACGACAGCCAGUGGAUCUGAAAAUCAUACACAUCGAAAGAAGUGCAUCUCGACUAAAAGACGUGCGAUCGCUGCGUUCCCGACUAGGAGCACCACUACGUCGACAAAGCCCUCCUGAGAGGGCUUUUGUUUAGGUGCCGUUUGGUGGAAACAAGCCGCCACACUAUUUGGAUAGCUGUAAGGCGCAAUUGUAGUUCCAAGGAGAGAGGGUUCGAUCCAAAAACAUCUCCCACUCUAGUGUUUUCGUGAUAUCAGCAUACGCCGACUGUCCAGUCCAGCGUGUGCGAUCGUACUAGAAGAGAGGUCGGACUCACUCCCACCACAACUGAGAGCAGAAAGCAUAGCAGCAGGCAACCAGAAAUAAUCCAAUUGGAAUUGGAUCUGUGUGAUCGGGGGAAUCCAGCUGAUGAGGACGUCGCAUGCAAACAGCUGCUGUAUGAAAGAAGUACUAGCUUAAGGAAUUGCAUGUGUGCUAGUGUGAAAACGAGGCAGCUGAUAUCGUACCGUUCGCCAAGCCCGGUCGCGCAUGCAAUCCGAUCGAGGGCGAUACGAUAAGGAAGUAGCAGAAGGCAGCAGCCCGAAUACGAAAAUAUUGUAACAUAACAGUUCCUGUAGUAGUUAUAAAACGAUUCGAAACAGAGUAAAAAAACGUUUAGAAAAU